UAUCUUGUAUUAGAAGAGUUUUCUCAAACAUGUAAUCCCUGGGCCAGUACCAUCAGCACCACCCAGAUCUACUAUUUAAACAACCCUCCAGCCCCAUAGAGAGAAAAUCUUUCUACCAGUAGAUCUUUGGAACUGAAAAAAGAUGGCAAGCUGGUUGUCAGGGCCUGAAAGGAAAAAUGGAAGGCUUUGUGGCAUAGCAUCUUGAAGAAAAGGAACCCCCGGGCCAGGCCUGGGUAUGGACAGCUGUCAAGAGGAAACAGAAAAGGGCUGCCAGGAAGAAAGGCAGCUGGGAGCAGAAGUCCCUUAUGGGUCCAUUAUGUUUAAAAGUACAUCUAAUCCAAUACCCAACACACAGAAUUUAUUAAAUAAAUGAUUGUCAAACUGA